rnacentral:rRNA from 1 species
CAGCCGCGGUAAUUCCAGCUCCAAUAGCGUAUAUUAAAGUUGUUGCAGUUAAAAAGCUCGUAGUUGGAUUUCUGUUUUGAAUUUCCGGUCCGUUCAAUGAAUGUGUACUUGGAAAUUUGAUUCAUUUAUUGUGAGGACCCUUAACUGGCAUUAAGUUGUCUGGUUUUGUGGACUUGCAUCGUUUACUGUGAAAAAAUUAGAGUGUUUAAAGCAGGCGUUCGCUUGAAUACAUUAGCAUGGAAUAAUAAGAUACGACACUGGUGGUCUAUUUUGUUGGUUUGCACACCAGAGUAAUGAUUAAUAGGGACAGUUGGGGGUAUUCGUAUUCCUGUGGAAGAGGUGAAAUUCUUGGAUCACAGGAAGACGAUCUUAGGCGAAAGCAUUUACCAUGGAUGUUUUCAUUAAUCAAGAACGAAAGUUAGGGGAUCGAAGAUGAUUAGAUACCAUCGUAGUCUUAACCAUAAACUAUGCCGACUCGAGAUUAGUGAAUGUUAUUAAAUGACUUCAUUAGCAUCGUAUGAGAAAUCAAAGUCUUUGGGUUCCGGGGGGAGUAUGGUCGCAAGGCUGAAACUUAAAGGAAUUGACGGAAGGGCACCACCAGGAGUGGAGCCUGCGGCUUAAUUUGACUCAACACGGGGAAGCUUACCAGGUCCAGACAUAGUAAGGAUUGACAGAUUGAGAGCUCUUUCUUGAUUCUAUGGGUGGUGGUGCAUGGCCGUUCUUAGUUGGUGGAGUGAUUUGCCUGGUUAAUUCCGUUAACGAACGAGACCUCCGCCUGCUAAAUAGUUUGCGUUACAUUUUUUGUAGCUGUAAACUUC